CCUACGGGAGGCAGCAGUGGGGAAUUUUGGACAAUGGGCGAAAGCCUGAUCCAGCAAUGCCGCGUGAGUGAAGAAGGCCUUCGGGUUGUAAAGCUCUUUUGUCAGGGAAGAAACGGUGUGGGCUAAUAUCCUGCACUAAUGACGGUACCUGAAGAAUAAGCACCGGCUAACUACGUGCCAGCAGCCGCGGUAAUACGUAGGGUGCAAGCGUUAAUCGGAAUUACUGGGCGUAAAGCGUGCGCAGGCGGUUUUGUAAGUCUGUCGUGAAAUCCCCGGGCUCAACCUGGGAAUUGCGAUGGAGACUGCAAGGCUAGAAUCUGGCAGAGGGGGGUAGAAUUCCACGUGUAGCAGUGAAAUGCGUAGAGAUGUGGAGGAACACCGAUGGCGAAGGCAGCCCCCUGGGUCAAGAUUGACGCUCAUGCACGAAAGCGUGGGGAGCAAACAGGAUUAGAUACCCUGGUAGUCCACGCCCUAAACGAUGUCUACUAGUUGUCGGGUUUUAAUUAACUUGGUAACGCAGCUAACGCGUGAAGUAGACCGCCUGGGGAUACGGUCGCAAGNUUAAAACUUAAGGAAUUGACGG
rnacentral:rRNA from 1 species